rnacentral:rRNA from 1 species
AUGCACGCUGGCGGCGUGCUUAACACAUGCAAGUCGCACGAAGCAUUUAAGACAGAUUACUUCGGUUUGAAGUCUUUUAUGACUGAGUGGCGGACGGGUGAGUAAUGCGUGGGUAACCUGCCUCAUACAGGGGGAUAGCAGCUGGAAACGGCUGGUAAUACCGCAUAAGCGCACAGUACCACAUGGUACAGUGUGAAAAACUCCGGUGGUAUGAGAUGGACCCGCGUCUGAUUAGCUUGUUGGCGGGGUAACGGCCCACCAAGGCGACGAUCAGUAGCCGACCUGAGAGGGUGACCGGCCACAUUGGGACUGAGACACGGCCCAGACUCCUACGGGAGGCAGCAGUGGGGAAUAUUGCACAAUGGAGGAAACUCUGAUGCAGCGACGCCGCGUGAGUGAAGAAGUAGUUCGCUAUGUAAAGCUCUAUCAGCAGGGAAGAUAGUGACGGUACCUGACUAAGAAGCUCCGGCUAAAUACGUG